UUCGUGUACCCUAGAGUCGUGGGUAGUCGUGUCCCAGAGUCGGCACAGUGUGAACGGGGCUUUAGCGAUGUGGGUUUCGGUCCGAGUAAUACUCGGUUUACUCGGUUCUUGGAUUUGAGUGAGUACUACCAAAGCCGUCUCUAUUAAAAAAGACUUAGCCUAGAGACGAAAACCUUCGAUGACGUCAAAACAGCGUCCGGCGCGCGCCGACGCCGCCGAGUGCCUUGAAUUUGAAUUCAGUGUUUGUAUUGUUUUCGUGAGGAGUGGGUGCGCUCUUCAUGAACUCCAACAACAACAUCAUUCCAUACAAGAAAAAUGCUGGUGUAUAUGCGUGUUCGGUAGUGGUUGAGUCGCCAACGCAUCGGAUGUGGUGUGUGCCUGGGCCGUCCCUUCGACUGCAGGUGUGGCACGGGCGAGCCCUGGUUGAUGGAUAGACUGCCACCGGGCGUGCCGCAGCGGCCGCUUAUUCCCGCUGACCCCACACGCAUGCCAGAUCCAUUGGACAGCUGCAGCGGCGGGCCCGGCGAGUC